CCUUCAGUUCGGCUGGAUCGGAGACAGGUGCUGCAUGGCUGUCGUCAGCUCGUGUCGUGAGAUGUUGGGUUAAGUCCCGCAACGAGCGCAACCCUCGCCCUUAGUUGCCAGCAUUCAGUUGGGCACUCUAGGGGGACUGCCGGUGAUAAGCCGAGAGGAAGGUGGGGAUGACGUCAAGUCCUCAUGGCCCUUACGGGCUGGGCUACACACGUGCUACAAUGGUGGUGACAGUGGGCAGCGAGAUCGCAAGGUCGAGCUAAUCUCCAAAAGCCAUCUCAGUUCGGAUUGCACUCUGCAACUCGAGUGCAUGAAGUUGGAAUCGCUAGUAAUCGUGGAUCAGCAUGCCACGGUGAAUACGUUCCCGGGCCUUGUACACACCGCCCGUCACACCAUGGGAGUUGGUUUUACCCGAAGGUGCUGUGCUAACCGCAAGGAGGC
rnacentral:rRNA from 1 species